GAUGAACGCUGGCGGCGUGCUUAACACAUGCAAGUCGAACGGUGAAGGCGGAGCUUGCUCUGCUGGAUCAGUGGCGAACGGGUGAGUAACACGUGAGCAAUCUGCCCCUGACUCUGGGAUAAGCGCUGGAAACGGCGGCUAAUACUGGAUACGAGCUGCGAAGGCAUCUUCAGCAGCUGGAAAGAAUUUCGGUCAGGGAUGAGCUCGCGGCCUAUCAGCUUGUUGGUGAGGUAAUGGCUCACCAAGGCGUCGACGGGUAGCCGGCCUGAGAGGGUGACCGGCCACACUGGGACUGAGGCACGGCCCAGACUCCUACGGGAGGCAGCAGUGGGGAAUACUGCACAAUGGGCGAAAGCCUGAUGCAGCAACGCCGCGUGAGGGACGACGGCCUUCGGGUUGUAAACCUCUUUUAGCAGGGAAGAAGCGAAAGUGACGGUACCUGCAGAAAAAGCGCCGGCUAACUACGUG
rnacentral:rRNA from 1 species